UUUAGGUUGAAGCUAAUAAUGAAAAUAUACAGUCUUUGCAUUUAUGAUUUUGUUAAAAAAUGUUUUCUAUCAGAUAUUUAACUGUUUAUUUUUGCUUGUGCUCAAUUCAAAUUCUUGGUCUCUGGAGAUGCUUAUAAUUAAGCAAAUGGCCAUCUGAUUUUUUGUUUGUUUUCAGAUAGUCAUUUAUCCACUUAAGCAGUCUUGAGGCUGUCUCCCAGCUCUAGGUUCUUGAGACUGAAGCAGGAAAACAUACCCUUGCUCAGGGACCUGGCCCUCCUCUGUCACUUUUGGUGUAUUACUAUAGAGAAUAGCAAUGUAUCAGAAGACGAGCUUAAAGAAACAAGUAUCAGAACUAAUGGAUACAGAUACCAAGAAGCUGGAAUUUUAUGUCUCUGAAUACUGAAGUGUUGAUAUCAAAUUGAAAAAAAACCUGAAGAUGCUGCAUGUCACAGAUAAAUCAUUUAUGUGUUGGCUUCAGUCUUUGAGAAGCCAGUUAAUCCAUCUGGUCUAAAGAAGGAAGAGAUACAAGGCUCUGGGAUUGUGCAGGGGGAGUUUUGAGGCUGUUAAGGCAGAGUGGUUUCAGUUCAUUGUCUUUAGAGCAGUUGUGUUUAAACUACUCGCUCUAUGGGGUGUUUGGGUGGCCCACUUGGUUGAGUGUCUGCCAUUGAGUAGGUCAUGACCUUGGGGUCCUGGGAUCAAGCCUUGUAUUGGGCUUUCUGCUCAAUGGGGAGUCUGCUUCUCUUUUUCCUUCUCGAGCUCUCUCUCAGAUAAAUGAAUUCUUCAACUACUUGCUCUAGAAAUCACUUUGAGGGGGCAAACCAUAGUGAAGCCAUUGAACUUAUUGCUACUUGUGAUGCAAAAACUAGAAUAUUUGGCAUUUAACAAGAGUAAAAAUAUAUUUUUUUAAGAUUUAUUUAUUUAUUCUAGAGAAAGAGAGCACACAUGAGCACACAAGUGUGAAGGGAGGGACAGAUGGAGAGGGAGUGGAUACUUAAGCAGACUCCCUGCUAAGUUCAGAGCCUGAUGGGAGGUUGGAUCCCAGGACCUGAGAUCAUGACCUGAGCAGAUAUCAAGAGUUGGUCACCUAAUGGACUGAGCCACCCAGCUGCCCCAAAGAUCCAUUAUUUUUUGUUACUUCCUUAGAAAUUUUAUUUUCAGAAUUGGACAGACAACCCAUUGCUGACAGUGUCGUUGGGUUUAGGAGAUGGAUUGGUUGGGAUGGGCUUAAGGAUUUGGGCAUAAAGGUGGAAACUGGGUGGGAACCAUAGCACGGGCAGAGUCUUCCUGGGUUCCUGGGACAGUCAUGAUGAGGAAAUUAGAUAAGAGGACCAAGAUUCUAACCCAGUCAGAUGGAUACCCAAGAGUGCUGGAGUCAGAAUGAAGCUGGGAGUGAUACUUUGAAUCAGAGGUCAGCUCAUCAUAGGGCUUUUUAAAAAUAAAACAGUAGGCUGUAUUAGAGAAAAGAGCAGUUAUAUGAAUCUUGAGUGAUCAGUUUUCCUCUAAAAUAUUAUUUUAUCACUUCUGUGUUCACAGGACUUAAAAUAUGUUUCCUAAGCUCUACCUUCUUUGUGGCCUUCUGUGGACACUGGCCAAUGGACUUUUGAAGGGGAAAAUGAACUCAGCCAGUCUCUUAAUUGGAGGCUGGACCUUUGGAAUGGCUGCUGAGGUCACAGAGAGAGAAAGAGAGAGAGGCAGAGACACAGGCAGAAGGAGAAGCAGGCUCCAUGCACCGGGAGCCCGACGUGGGACUCGAUCCCGGGUCUCCAGGAUCACGCCCUGGGCCAAAGGCAGGCGCCAAACCUCUGCGCCACCCAGGGAUCCCCCUUUUCCUGACUUUUUGAAGAGGCACCGUCUGUAGAGUCUAACACUAUUUGUAUUUUUAAAAGCUCAGUGGUAGAAUUUGUCUCCGCACUGUAACUACAUAUGUAACUUUUUCCAGAACAUGUCAUGAGUAUAAAGAUUUUUCCCCAACCUGCUCUCCGCUUUGAGAGGCAAGGGGCGUUGUGCAUGGAGGAGUGAGCAACUCAGUGCCGUGGUGUUCAUGUGAAAGAGACAU